UUUAUGAUUUCUAGACGAGGUUUUGCUCAAAUGUCAAGUUGUUAUGCAGUAUUUGAAUAGAAUCGUGGCACUUAUUUGAAACUAAAGCUACAAUUGUUUAAUAAGGGUGCGAAGUAGUUUAUGAGUUGAGCUUUAAAGUUUAUGAAUUCGAAGAAGGGCCGCGAAGAAUGCAGUACGUAGCAGGACGAGCACUCCAAUUUGGUCAUUUCCAAUCAUCCUAGGUCGGAUCUAUUCGGUCUACCUUCGCUGUUUUGAUCUUUCGCAAUUGGUACGGAACUUACAGACGGAUCAAGCUGUGGUCGGAUGAUGAUCGGGUACAACCGAACAUGAUCACUCCUCUCAAGAACAAAAUU